rnacentral:siRNA from 1 species
CGUCACUGAUUUACAUACGGUGGC